ACUGACUGCUGAGAGUGGGAGAACGCUUCCUGGUUUCGGCCCCCUAAAAACACACACACACACAUAAAGCUGGUGGCGUUUGUCCUUCCUGUGCUUCUUCCUCUUUGUCUAAAUGUAAAAAAAAAAUAUUGCUGGGUCCAGUCAGGGUAGAACAUAGUAUGGCCUGUGUGUAGCACUAUUAUCAGUUCUUUGCAGAGGAUAAAGAAUAUAGCCCUGUCAAGUUAUUAUAAGGACAAAUUAUUAUCAUGUAAAAGUGUGCAUGAGAAAGAGAGAAGGAAGACUCAUAUGUUUUUGACUUUUUACCUUUGGGAGAGGACUGGAUGGAAGAUGUAGACAAGGAGCAAAACCACACAGAAACUGUCAGGAAAGCAACAAAUCAUGCCGACAACACACAGAAGGAGAUGUUGGAAAACAUGCAAGAGAGUUCUCAAAGCCAAAGAUGUCCAGCAGCCCGAUGGAGCGUCUGACGACUUUGCUGUGUGAGGACGAAGGCCUGUAGAUGGCGGCGUUGAUCUUCUCCACGAUCCACACGAACAGACGACCUGUUGCACCUUGACGAAGGCGUCUCGCACAUCCAGCGCUUGUUCCAUGCUGAGCGGCGUGGAAACGGUUUCUCCUCUGGUGAUCAGCGUCCUGCUCGUCAGGCAGUUCAUCAGAUGGGGGCCCACCUGAGAAGAGGCGUCCUGCUCAGAGCUCCUGCGCUGAACCCAAACACAAAGGGCCCUCCUGGACCUUGGACCACGUUUGCCAUCUUUUGCCUGCACGUGUAGCUCGUAGGGGAACAGCGUGGACCCCCCGUUGUCAUGCUGCAGCAGGCAGUAAUACAAACCCUGGUGGAGGUCGCUCAGAUUGUGGACCACCAGACUGCCGUCCUGGCGCACGUGGACCAGGUUCAGUUCUGUGUGGAGGCCUGGUAAGUGGAAGGGUCCAACGGGGGUGUGCCAGUACACCACCACACCUGCUGGCCAAACAAUAAUAAAAAGUUGAGUCAAA